GCGCACCAGGCGAGAAACCUUCGCAAUGCAGGAAACUGCGACGAGGGAACUCCAAGUGCCUACGCUCAGCGUAGGCUGUUCUCAAGCCUAGAAAGCUUGAGGAGUAAGGGCUGGGUAAGACGGGUGCCAUCUGUGGUAGCAGUCAAUAGAUUCGAUUUGUUACUGCAAGGCAUAAGCCGCCGCGGUAAUACCCGCAGCCCAAGUGGUGGCCGCUUUUAUGGGCCUAAAGCGUCCGUAGCCGGCCCGGCAAAUGCCUGGGGUAAAUCGUGGAGCCCAACUUCACGAAUUCCGGGUAGACUGCCGAGCUCGGGACCGGAAGAGGGAGAGGGUACUUCGAGGGGGUAGGGGUGAAAAUUUCCGUUUACCAUUAACGCUUUUGCGCGAAGCGGAAA
rnacentral:rRNA from 1 species